UCGGACGUGGUGUACUGGACACGGCCUCCUUCAAUGGACGGUCUUCAUGAAUUGGAUGUUGGAGGCAAUCCCGGGUUCGACUCCCGGCGUCCGAG